rnacentral:rRNA from 1 species
CACGUAGGGCGCAAGCGUUGUCCGGAAUUAUUGGGCGUAAAGAGCUCGUAGGCGGUCUGUUACGUCUGCUGUGAAAACCCGGGGCUUAACCCUGGGCUUGCAGUGGAUACGGGCAGACUAGAGGCAGGUAGGGGAGAAUGGAAUUCCCGGUGUAGCGGUGAAAUGCGCAGAUAUCGGGAGGAACACCGGUGGCGAAGGCGGUUCUCUGGAACGCAACUGACGCUGAGACGCGAAAGCGUGGGGAGCAAACAGG